GCACCUGCGCGUGAAGGAGGCGGGCGUGGCAGACCCCCGCGGAGGCUUGAGGAGGACGGCAGUGGUCCCCGGUCCCACUUUUGAGUGUGGCUUUGCGGGGCCUGUGUUGGCGCCGUUCUCCCAGGCCUCGUUCCUCGGGGGCCGCCCUCGGCUGCUUCUCCCGGCACUGACGCCGCGCCUCUACUUCGGGCUGUCCACCUACGGUCGCACACGCGUGGCACCCGGGCUCCUACCUCUGUUACGUGCCAGGGCCGGGCCAGGGCUUCCCUGGUGCCUCCCAGCACCGCCACCUCUCCCGCCCCAGGGGCCGCCUGCCGCCGUCCUCCGCAGCUGGUCUGCAUUCUCCGCCUUCUCUGCUUACCGCUCUGUUGCUAGUCCUACAAGGGACCCUCGGGCGCACGGAGCGUGAAGGCCUGCCCCACCGACGUCUCAUUUUGGGAAAGGGUGGGCACUUUCUUGAGUCUUUUAGGCCCCCUUUGCCCUGAAGAAUGAAGCAUCAUGGGAUUUUAUCGGAGGAGGAAAUGUGCCUACAAAAAACUGUAUUUCCUAGACUCCUCUCCAGAUGGAGAAACUGAUGCUCAGACAGUUUGCUACCUGAUCCAUGGUGACCCAUCUGGGGUGUGGACUCAGGCCCUACUGGACCAUUGAUGGGAGAACCAAGAGGGAAGUACCAUUUUUGAUGUCCCUGGGAGAUUCUAAGAGUCAUCAUCUAAAUAACAGGUAAGGUUUGCAACUGAUGGUAAGCCACCAUCAGCAGCUGGUCCUGGUGGCUGGCCAAGGAGACACCCACCUCGUCCACCAUCAGUGCUGCCCUGCUCGGCACAUGGUUCCCACUGUGGAAAUAGAGUCAUAGAGGACAGGUCCUGCACCACUGAUUCUGAAACUCUCAAGAGUAAGUUUCACUGCUGCAGUUCCUCUGCAGUUUCUACAAUAGUAGAACAUUUGUGAAUACAGUGUGAAAUUUGGAAGCAGCCAUAUCGAAAAACAAACAAACGAAAAAUCAGUUUCACUCUCUCCAUAGUCUUGCCUCAUAAUUUCUUUCGAAAAGCAAGUUCUUACCCUGCAUGACAAGAGUUUUCAGAACAUGGAAAGAAACUUAAAUGGCUUUUGCUAGCAAGCAGAAAUAGACAAGACAGGCGGUCAGGUUGAAGAAAAACACACACUCGUAAAGGUGAUUCUCACGUUAGGACGUUUAUUACUUAGCUCCUGGUCACAAGAGAUUUUUCUCCCAAGAACUGGCUUUGUUUUUACGGUGGCGAGUGUCUAAAGACAAUAAACUCUGGGACAGGGUCUGUGAUUCCUGUGCUGAGUGCACAUUUUCGUGGUGUUACUGAGAGCACUUAGGUUUCUUCCUGCAUCUCCAGGCUGACUCAGGGUACCCCUUCACGAAGGCUCUUACUACUCCAGUCCUGACAGUUGUGACCAAGACUUAUGAGUCAUUCACCCUGUAUUUUCCAGAUGGACUGUGCAGUCUUACCCAUCUUGCUGUGGGAACACCCACUUGAGAACCAGUCUUUCCAUUCCAGGCUCACUCUUCCUUUCUCUCCCUUGGUCCGCUCAGUGACCCAGAGCCCCAAGUUUCUCAAUUAGAGUGAUAUCAAUUACUUCUUGCAUAGAGGAUUAUUUUCCCAAAGAGGUCACAAUUUCCUCGAGGACUUUUCCAUCACGCCGGUACCUGGCUACCUAAUGAUGGAUGGAUACACUGAUCUUCUAGAAAGUUUUUCAAGUUACAAAUAAAAAAAUUU